rnacentral:rRNA from 1 species
GAUGAACGCUAGCGGCAGGCCUAAUACAUGCAAGUCGGACGGGAUCCAUUGAUAGCUUGCUAUCAAUGGUGAGAGUGGCGCACGGGUGCGUAACGCGUGAGCAACCUCCCUCCAUCAGGGGGAUAACCUCUCGAAAGAGAGAUUAACACCGCAUAAUAUCAACAGUUCGCAUGUUCAGUUGAUUAAAUAUUUAUAGGAUGGAGAUGGGCUCGCGUGACAUUAGCUAGUUGGUAGGGUAACGGCUUACCAAGGCGACGAUGUCUAGGGGCUCUGAGAGGAGAAUCCCCCACACUGGUACUGAGACACGGACCAGACUCCUACGGGACGCAGCAGUAAGGAAUAUUGGGCAAUGGGCGGAAGCCUGAACCAGCCAUGCCGCGUGCAGGAUGACUGCCCUAUGGGUUGUAAACUGCUUUUGUCCAGGAAUAAACCUAAAUACGAGGAUUUAGCUGAAUGUACUGGAAGAAUAAGGAUCGGCUAACUCCGUG